GAUGAGCGCUGGCGGCGUGCCUAAUACAUGCAAGUCGAGCGAACAGACGAGGAGCUUGCUCCUCUGACGUUAGCGGCGGACGGGUGAGUAACACGUGGAUAACCUACCUAUAAGACUGGGAUAACUUCGGGAAACCGGAGCUAAUACCGGAUAAUAUAUUGAACCGCAUGGUUCAAUAGUGAAAGACGGUUUUGCUGUCACUUAUAGAUGGAUCCGCGCCGCAUUAGCUAGUUGGUAAGGUAACGGCUUACCAAGGCAACGAUGCGUAGCCGACCUGAGAGGGUGAUCGGCCACACUGGAACUGAGACACGGUCCAGACUCCUACGGGAGGCAGCAGUAGGGAAUCUUCCGCAAUGGGCGAAAGCUUGACGGAGCAACGCCGCGUGAGUGAUGAAGGUCUUCGGAUCGUAAAACUCUGUCAUUAGGGAAGAACAAAUGUGUAAGUAACUAUGCACGUCUUGACGGUACCUAAUCAGAAAGCCACGGCUAACUACGUG
rnacentral:rRNA from 1 species